GCAUUUUUUUUGUUAUUAUACGUAUAAGUUUUUUUUUGGAAAUAUCUCUAAUACUUUUCUCCAAUAUCGUAUCUAAUAUAAAUGUCGUAUUCGAUGUACUGGUAACUAACGGGGCGUCGACAAAAGACGUAAUUAUAUUUUGUAAGUACUUGUAACUAAAAACGGACAGAGAACACUGCGGGGAUAUAAGGUGUCUGAUCUCAUGUUUAGAAACCAAAAACCGACGAAACACCGAUAACGCUUUAUUUAUUUACAACAAAUGCUCGUACAUAUUUUGAACAGAGACGGCAUACAGAUUGUGUGCAUUUUAAAAUUGUAUUUCUUCGUAGAGACGUGAAAGUGUACUUGAAUUUCGGACUUUUAGGUUUCCAAACAUAAGUUUAGACACCUUAUAUACACGUUGUAUCCGUCCGUAGUUACCAAUAUA